GGCUCAACCUGGAGACGCCACUCGAUACUGCCAUGGCUAGAGUCCGGUAGGGGCCCACGGAAUUCCUGGUGUAGCGGUGAAAUGCGCAGAUAUCAGGAGGAACACCGGUGGCGAAGGCGGUGGGCUGGGCCGGAACUGACGCUGAGGAGCGAAAGCGUGGGGAGCGAACAGGAUUAGAUACCCUGGUAGUCCACGCCGUAAACGUUGGGCACUAGGUGUGGGGGAUUAUCAACGUCCUCCGUGCCGUAGCUAACGCAUUAAGUGCCCCGCCUGGGGAGUACGGCCGCAAGGCUAAAACUCAAAGGAAUUGACGGGGGCCCGCACAAGCGGCGGAGCAUGUGGCUUAAUUCGAGGCAACCGCGAAGAACCUUACCC
rnacentral:rRNA from 1 species